rnacentral:snRNA from 1 species
GUGCUCGCUUUCGGCAGCGCCUAUACUGAAAUGGGUAUUGAUACAGAGAAGAAUAGACAUGGUCCCCUGUGCGAGGAUGACACGCAAAUUAAGGGAAGCGCUCCACAUUAAA